rnacentral:tRNA from 1 species
UAGCUCAGUUGGUAGAGCAUGGUGCUAGCAACGCCAGGCUGUGGGUUCGAUUCCCAC